rnacentral:rRNA from 1 species
AACGAACGCUGGCGGCAGGCCUAACACAUGCAAGUCGAACGCUCCGCAAGGGGAGUGGCAGACGGGUGAGUAACACGUGGGAAUCUUCCUGUUGGUGCGGAAUAGCUCAGGGAAACUUGGGGUAAUACCGCAUAAGCCCGAGAGGGGAAAGAUUUAUCGCCGACAGAUGAGCCCGCGUCUGAUUAGCUAGUUGGUGAGGUAAUGGCUCACCAAGGCGACGAUCAGUAGCUGGUCUGAGAGGAUGACCAGCCACACUGGGACUGAGACACGGCCCAGACUCCUACGGGAGGCAGCAGUGGGGAAUAUUGGACAAUGGGCGCAAGCCUGAUCCAGCCAUGCCGCGUGAGUGACG